ACAGUCUCUGCCACAGCGGGAGUUUCAGCAGAUUAAUAGCGAUGUUUUGAAAAAUGUGCAAGUAAACAAUGCAAAUGGUGAAGACCAAUGAGUUUAUGCUAUUCCAAUCGUAAGUACUGAUUUUGAUUUAGUUGAACAUACUUGUGACACGUUGUUGAUUUCACGAUGACAUUUUGGUGUUAUAUUUCAGGAUGAAUCCAUCCUCUGCAUUAUUGAAGAGACAACUUUAAAGAACACAUACAGUAAUUGACAUUUACUACCAUUACUUAAUAUUGGGUUGAAAAGCGGAGCUUAGAAUUGGUUUUUCUAUUUCAAGCUUGGCUUUUAAACGCUGAUACUUGUCCCUGAUUAUAUGACCCGGUGGUUAAAAUUGAUUGCUUCAUUGGUUUCAAUUCAAAACUGUAGGGUGAAGACUGACAAUUGCGAUGGAAAAAACAAAAAGAAAAGAAGUUAAUAACAUUUAGGAGAUGCAGAAAACGUUUUGGAAGAGGCUUGGCGCGCAUACUUUGACAUCAUAGUGUAGAAAGCUUUAUACUAAACCAAAUUUGUCACAAAAUAGUCCGGAGGGGAAUAUAAAGUUGUCAAGACCGUUGAUGUUGGGUAUAGCUAAGUGAAUUUUUGAUAUUUUUGGAUGCAUUGCCAAUAGAAAUGAGAAAUUUUUUGAUUA